UUGUGCCCACCUGUACCACCUCAUACCUCAGUGAUUCCCAAGAUGCCUUCUGUGCUUUAGUGAGACCCGUCUUGUCACUGUCCCAGUGUGCACUGCACAGAAUGGACCUCGUAGUGACAACCCUGGGAGCCUACCUUGGCAGGCAGUGAGAGAGCAAGCGGCAUCUGCUGGUCCAGGGGGUCAAAGGCUUGAAGGGUCCCAAAGAGAU